GUUCGACGCUAAUGAUGACGAACGGAGGGCCCCUAGAGGGAUCCAAACCCUAGUGAGGUUGAUUAACCGGCAGGGAGGUGCGCCGGCGCGGUUUUCUUUUACGGAAGACGGCAAGGGCUCGUCGUCCGCCGCCUCCGGUGACUCAUCGACCGCCGGAGAAGCACGGGAAGCCUUGGUGGAGAUUCUGCGGCAGCGCGGAGGUUCCUAGAAGGACUCAGCUUAUAUCGCCUCUAAUUCGCGGAGAACUGGACGACCACAGUCUACGGGGUUCUCCGAACGGGGAGAUAGAUGAAGAGGGCGUCGAUCUGAAUACUUCUAGUUUUAGCAAGAAGGUGCAAUUUUUCAUCUGCUUUGCUCAUUGCUAGAUAUCUGUCUAAGGAGAAGCUUCCUGAUCUAAUCGAUAAGGUUAGGGUUCCUAAGUCUGAUAAAUUAACGAUGAGGACUUCAGACUACAAUCGAGCUUCACAGAAGAGGGAUGCCAAACCAUUUUGGAAAGGUCUGCUCCAACGAGAGUACAUGGAUGUUGAAAAACUUUUUGUGGUGCCCUCAGUUCCUUCAAAAUAUGCUUCAUAGGAAAGAUCUCCAUUGCCGUUGAUUUAUUACAUGGUUUGUCUGUUCCAGCAAUUCCCUGUGAAAUGUUCAUUGUUUGUCUGCUAUUGACUAAAAGCCGGGCCUGCAAAUCGAAAUGUGACCCUACUGCACUGGCUGCCGGAGCAAAGAUGGAAAUUUUCACAUGUAUCCUGCGCUUGCAAGAAUAAUCAAGAAAAAAAAGGGAGAGAAUGGAAUCGAUGAUCCAGUUAUUGUCCAUCUAUCACUUUGACUGAGGUUAUACCACAGUUUUCUAAGAGGAACGAAGUGGUCUCGAAUACUUCACCAUUUUGAACCACAUGAAGAACGCUGCUUGACCAGAUGAAAAUGGCUAAUAAUCAUCAGUUUCAAUGCAGAAUUUGUUGAUAUAUUUAAUAAGAUUCCCAGACAAGUUGGUGAUGUUACACAUGAUAUCAUGAGAUCCAGUUAUGAUUAA